UUCACCUCCUGCCGUGAUUCUGAGGCCUCCCCAGCCAUGUGGAACUAACUAAACAGAAACACUGUAGAAGCAAGAGGUUGAAAAUAUCAUCCAUUUUGAUGCCAACAAUUGACAAUCCUAGAUAGCCAAAGACAGCCUUACUAAGCAAUGUGGCUGCUUUUGGAGUCAAAGGAAGACUCACUUUGCUCAACUGUUGGAUAAAAAGAUAAAGAGAAGAAAAGGAUCUUCAGUGGGUUCAUCAGUAGACAACACAAAGUCCAGUCUGACCAGGUGGGAAGAAACUGAUUUGUCAUCCUUGGGAAUGAGAACAGCAUUAAAAUGGAAAAUAUUAGGUGCUUUUUGCUUAUUCAAGACAACUCAAGAGUCAAAAAUAAAUAGGCCUCUAGGAGUACGCAUUUAAUGGGUUCUUAAAGUGGUCUAAAUAUAUUUCAUUUAAGAAAUCGCUCAUUAAUUUUUAGACUUUUUUAUUGGCAGAAAAAUCUGCUGCCUUAUAUCCAUUUAGAUGGUCUUUUGUUUACUUUUACGAAAAACUUAAAAGUCAGUCAGUUCAAUUCACUCAUAGCACACCUACUCUUGCCCUAUAAAACAAUAGACAGCAACACAUGGGCAUUUGAAGUGGAACCCAGAAUCCCUUGACAACUUACCCUCCC
rnacentral:lncRNA from 1 species